rnacentral:rRNA from 1 species
CUCCCAAACCCAUGUGAACAUACCUAACGUUGCCUCGGCAGGUCGCACCUACCUUGUAGCACCCUACCCUGUAGGGCCUACCCGGGAGGUGCGGGUAAGCCUGCCGGCGGCCCACCAAACUCUGUUUGAUAUUGAAUUCUGAACCUAUAACUAAAUAAGUUAAAACUUUCAACAACGGAUCUCUUGGUUCUGGCAUCGAUGAAGAACGCAGCGAAAUGCGAUAAGUAAUGUGAAUUGCAGAAUUCAGUGAAUCAUCGAAUCUUUGAACGCAUAUUGCGCCCAUUAGUAUUCUAGUGGGCAGGACCGUUCGAGCGUCAUUUCAACCCUUAAGCCUUCGUUGCUUAGUGUUGGGAGCCUACGGCAACGUAGCUCCUCAAAGUUAGUGGCGGAGUUGGUUCACACUCUAGACGUAGUAAUUUUUUAUCUCGCCUAUUAGUUGGACUAAUCCCCUGCCGUAAAACCCCCAAUUUAUCAAGGUUGACCUCGAAUCGGUUCAGACAAACUCGCUAAAUUGAAGCAUCUUAGUCAGCGAAGGAAAAGAAACCAACAGGGAUUGCCCUAGUAACGGCGAGUGAAGCGGCAACAGCUCAAAUUUGAAAUCUGGCCCUCGGGUCCGAGUUGUAAUUUGUAGAGGAUGCUUUUGGCGCGGUGCCUUCCGAGUUCCCUGGAACGGGACGCCUUAGAGGGUGAGAGCCCCGUACGGUUGGACACCAAGCCUCUGUAAAGCUCCUUCGACGAGUCGAGUAGCUUGGGAAUGCUGCUCUAAAUGGGAGGUAAAUUUCUUCUAAAGCUAAAUAUUGGCCAGAGACCGAUAGCGCACAAGUAGAGUGAUCGAAAGAUGAAAAGCACUUUGAAAAGAGGGUUAAACAGC